rnacentral:rRNA from 1 species
UCGUGAGACAGGUUAGUUUUACCCUACUGAUGAAUGUUACCGCAAUAGUAAUUGAACUUAGUACGAGAGGAACAGUUCAUUCGGAUAAUUGGUUUUUGCGGCUGUCUGAUCAGGCAAUGCCGCGAAGCUACCAUCCGCUGGAUUAUGGCUGAACGCCUCUAAGUCAGAAUCCAUGCUAGAACGCGGUGAUUCUUUGCCCUGCACAACGUAGAUGGAUACGAAUAAGGCGUCCUUUUGGGCGUCGCUGAACCAUAGCAGGCUGGCGACGGUGCGCUUGGCGGAAAGGCCUUGCGUGCUUGCCGGCGGAUAGCAAUGUCAUUUUGCGCGGGGAUAAAUCAUUUGUAUACGACUUAGAUGUACAACGGGGUAUUGUAAGCAG